rnacentral:rRNA from 1 species
UAGUCCACGCCCUAAACGAUGAGGACUGGCUGUUGGCGCUAUAGACGCGUCGGUAGCGAAGCUAACGCGUUAAGUUCUCCGCCUGGGGAGUACGACCGCAAGGUUGAAACUCAAAGGAAUUGACGGGGGCCCGCACAAGCGGUGGAGCAUGUGGUUUAAUUCGAUGCAACGCGAAGAACCUUACCAUCCCUUGACAUCCUCAGAAUGAUCUGUAAUCGAUCAGUGCCUUCGGGAACUGAGUGACAGGUGCUGCACGGCUGUCGUCAGCUCGUGUCGUGAGAUGUUGGGUUAAGUCCCGCAACGAGCGCAACCCUUGUCUUUAGUUGCCAUCAUUUAGUUGGGCACUCUAGAGAAACUGCCGGUGACAAACCGGAGGAAGGUAAGGAUGACGUCAAGUCAGCAUGCCCCUUACGCUCUGGGCUACACACGUGCUACAAUGGUCGUGACAAAGAGUUGCUAGUCUGCGAAGGCAAGCCAAUCUCAUAAACGCGGCCUU